UACGGAGGGUGCGAGCGUUGUCCGGAUUUAUUGGGUUUAAAGGGUGCGUAGGCGGUUCCUUAAGUCAGUUGUGAAAUACGGCAGCUUAACUGUCGAGGUGCAAUUGAUACUGGGGAACUAGAGUACUGAUGAGGUAUGCGGAAUGGACGGUGUAGCGGUGAAAUGCUUAGAUAUCGUCCAGAACACCGAUAGCGAAGGCAGCAUACUAAGGAGUAACUGACGCUGAGGCACGAAAGUGUGGGGAUCAAACAGG
rnacentral:rRNA from 1 species